rnacentral:rRNA from 1 species
GACGAACGCUGGCGGCGUGCCUACUACAUGCAAGUAGAACGCAGAUGCGAACGGGUGAGUAACGCGUAGGUAACUGCCUGGUAGCGGGGGAUAACUAAUGGAAACGAUAGCUAAUACAGCCUACUACCAGCUGGACCUGCGUUGUAUUAGCUAGUUGGUGAGGUAAAGGCCCACCAAGGCAACGAUACAUAGCCAACCUGAGAGGGUUAUCGGCCACACUGGAACUGAGACACGGCCCAGACCCCUACGGGAGGCAGCAGUAGGGAAUCUUCGGGAAUGGGGGGAACCCUGACCGGGCAACGCCGCGUUAGUGAAGAAGGUUUUCGGAUCGUAAAGCUCUGUUGUUAAGGAAGCGGUACUUAACCAGAAAGGGACGGCUAACUACGUGCCAGCAGCCGCGGUAAUUC